rnacentral:misc_RNA from 1 species
AAAUGGCAAUGGCUGCCGCAAGUUGGGCAUCUUCUUCUUCGUUCACUCGCUUUCUCCGGCCUCUCCUCAGUCGGAACUCAUCUCCCUCCCCUAUCAGUUACAGUCUUCAUCGAUAUAAAUCAGCUAACUGUUUAUUUUUCUCCGCAAGCAGUAAUAAACCUCCAAAAUUAGCUGUUUAUGCUCAAGCUAGGCGAGUUUUAUCUUCCAAAACCAAAGGAGAUGAAAUAGCAACUCCUGCUGACUUGAGCUUCGAGGUGCCAUUGAAAAUUGUGGAGUAUCCAGACCCGAUUUUAAGAGCGAAGAAUAAGAGGAUUGACAAUUUUGACGCUAAUUUGAAGAAGUUAGUUGAUGAAAUGUUCGAUAUUAUGUACAAAACUGAUGGCAUUGGGCUGUCUGCACCACAAGUUGGAAUGAAUGUUCAACUAAUGGUAUUUAAUGCAGCCGGUGAACGUGGAGAGGGGGAGGAGAUUGUUCUCGUCAAUCCACGUGUCAGUAGAUAUUCUAGGAGGAUUAUACCUUAUGAAGAAGGUUGCUUAUCUUUUCCAAUGAUACAUGGUGAUGUUAAGAGACCAGAGUCAGUUAAGGUUGACGCACAGGACAUUAAUGGUACAAGGUUUGAGAUAAGCUUGUCUGCUCUUCCAGCACGAGUCUUCCAACAUGAAUUUGAUCACCUACAGGGAGUUCUUUUCUUUGACAAAAUGACUGACGAAGUCCUGGACACCAUUCGUGAAAAAUUAGUGGCGCUAGAAAAGAAAUAUGAAGAUAGGACUGGGUUGCCAACCCCUGAAAGCAUAAAUACACGAAAAAUAAAGAAGGCUGCUGUUGGAUUUGGCAAAUCAUGAAUUUACUGGGAUCUAUGAAAUCUUCUCAGUAUUUGUAUGAUGAAGCACAAAAUGGGAUUGCCAGCUUUUGCUGAACUUUGGUAUAUGCCAUUAAUUUAGACACUUGUGCUUUGUGAAACUAGCCAAAAGUGUGGCCUCUGAGGUUUAUCCUUGUACUGAUACUGCUCUGUUUAGGAAUGAUAGGGUUACCACAGAAAUUUGUAUGGAAAAAGAACUGUUAAGUACAUUUGAUCAAAUAUUGAACAUCAAGU